UCGGUCCCUAUCUGUUGUGGGCGGAGGAGACUUGAGGGGCACUGUCCUUAGUACGAGAGGACCGGGAUGGACAGACCUCUAGUGUUCCGGUUGUCAUGCCAAUGGCAAUGCCGGGUAGCUAUGUCAGGAAGGGAUAAACGCUGAAGGCAUCUAAGUGUGAAGCCCACCCCAAGAUUAGGUCUCCCGUGGAGUAAUCCACCUAAAGGUCUGUGGUAGACCACCACUUUGAUAGGCUGGAAGUGUAAGUGCAGUAAUGCAUUCAGCUUACCAGUACUAAUAGGCCGUGAGGCUUGACCCU
rnacentral:rRNA from 1 species